UACAGCUUACACCUCAAGUACAAAUCUUGCAUUAGCCUCGCCGAUUGCAACAAUGAUGCUGUCUAUGGACCACUCAGAGUCGAGGCCAUCAACGAUAUGAACAUGUUGUGUAACAGCGAUGGGGCCAUGAUGGUUGCUUCAAUCUCGACCAUGCUUGUCGCUCUCCUCGCAAUGUUCUUCAAGUAAAGAACUUUCAGAGCCAGGCAAUACUAAUGAAGUCACCUACUCUCUGAGAUGACCAGCCGCGUCUGUUGACGGCUUUAAGAGAUUUGUUUUUCUACAAUAUUAAAGUCUUCUUCUUACUAAACUCUAUAUUUGUAUCCUUCUUAA